CUAGUACUCUUUCCCUUUCAAAAAAUUUGUCUUAGAUUUGUCUAGAUAUGAAUGUAUUUAGUCAUGUUUUAGCAUUUAGAUACAUCCAUUUCUAGACAAACUUAAGACAAAUUUUUUGAGACGAGGAAGUAUUUG
rnacentral:pre_miRNA from 1 species